UGGGAACAACGACAUGGAUAUCAGUCUCCUAUAAAGAAAAGUAAACCAUGAAGUUCAUGUAUCCUCAUUAAAAUAAAUAUCAAUAAAAGGAUGUGAAACAUACAAACACAAAAAAAUUCAAACCAUAUCAGAAACAACUAAUAUGAGUAUGGAUAUCAACCAUACAAAUAUUUAUAAAACUGAUAAAUAUGUUAUAUACUACAACCAUUUCAAAAACAUAAUGAAACAUCAUAAAUAUUAUAAACUGGAACCGAAUAAAUAUUGCCAAAUGACUUUAUUCAGCAAAUCAAGGAAUAAGGUUUAAUAAUACAAAACGAAACCAGUUGAGCAGUCAUCAAAAAUGACACAUAACAUACUCCAACUUUGUGGAAAAAACUCGAAGAACAUGAUUUAAUAAUAACUUUCAUGAACUCACAUAUUUGUCAACGACGAUCAUCUCGAAGUGCUCCUUGGUAUUGGAGAUGACAUCCCAUUUAUGGUGAACUUUAACAAUGAUCUUUCAAAGCUCUUUGGUGUGGUUAAUGUCCUUGACGUUCUCAAAUAGUCUUGCCAUAUUAUACAGAAGCAAUAUUUGUUGAAUCAAUGGAACACAGAAAAUGUAUGGAAGACAAAUAUAAUAAGGAACAAAGGAGCACCGGAUUUUGAAAAGAAGAUAAAUUAGUCAAAGAAGUUAAAGCAAAUGGAGAGACUACAUGAGAUUUUUGUAGCACAAUAAAUAUUGUGAGUUGAUGUUUGCUUUAUGAAUGGUUUGAAUUAGUUGAAUUGAUGUGUAUUUAAGUAAGAAAGAAAUUAAGGUCAGGGCAGAAUGGAUGUGUAUUUCAGAAAGAAAGAAAUUGGAAACAAGCAGAAUGGAAGCAUUACGGUGUGUUUAAAAAAAAUAAAGUUUGAUUUUGUUGGAAUUUAAGUAACUUGGUUGCAUUCACCA
rnacentral:lncRNA from 1 species